GCCUUCAUGGCUCAGUUGGCAGAGCGUCUGCCUAGUAAGCAGAAGGUCACCAGUUCAAUUCUGGUUGAAGGCA
rnacentral:tRNA from 1 species